CAGAUUUCAGACACUGUGAAUUUUAUGUGUUUACAUCUGUCCAUCCGCUGCCUGUCCAGGACGCAGUGGACUGAGAGUAGAUAUUUCAGUGGGUUCUAGACUCUAAUCCUGGGAAGUCAGUGGUGAAGAGCUGAAUGUGCAGAGAGUCUUAGUGAGAAAUGUUGAGGACUCAGUCAUUACUGUUAUGUUCUCAGGCGCUUGUGAACCGAACGAGGAUGGACGAGGUCUGAGUAGUGGCACCCAGGGCUUGAUUUAACAGUGUUUUUCAGACCGAAGUCGUUUUAGGAGGCAGCUUAUGCUGAACAUCCUCAGAAUGAAGACCUGAAUGGAUCCUGUUACAUAUACUGUGUUUUCAGUUUCAGCUCUAUGGAAUUUCCUGAUCAUAGCAGGUUCCUGUCUGGUUGCUGUGGCUCUGGUUCUGUUCCCAUGGAGAUGUUUUCACAAAAGACAAGAGGACUGUGAGAUGCCGUAUGACGACGUCUACACUACCAUUGAAUACGUCGCCUUUAAUAAAGAACAAACAGGAGCUGUUUGUGUACAGACUCCACGGACUCGUCUCAUCAGCUAAUCAGGAGGAAACAUCUAUGUCAUACAUUUUAAUCCAUUAACUUUGAGAAAUGUCAGGUAGAAGGAAAAGGACAGGAAUACUAAAACCCACAGAAAUCACAAACACAUUGUUCAAUUCUGAAUUUAAUACAACUUUUAUUCUGUUAAACCUCACUGUAUAUUCUUUUCCUUACCAACUGUUAGUUUUCUCCUUGUAUUUUAUUAAUUUAGAUGUUUUAGUUUCCCACAUUUAUGUCAUUUGGCUUUGUAAUGGACUACAAAUCAUAUAUAUUUUUGUUGAUAUUUUACAGUUCACCCAAACUCAUGUGUCUCUCAACUGAGACAUUCUCAGGUUUCAGUACUUUAAACUUUAUUGACAUUUCUUUUUCUUUAUUAUGUUGUAACAUCAUUUCUAUUUUCUA